GGAGUUUGGACCGUGUCUCAGUUCCAAUGUGGGGGACCUUCCUCUCAGAACCCCUACUGAUCGUCGGCUAGGUGGGCCGUUACCCCGCCUACUACCUAAUCAGACGCAUCCCCAUCCAUAAGCGAUAAAUCUUUAUUCCAUCUCAGAUGUCUUUAAUGGAAACCAUAGGGCAUUAAUCCGAUUUUCACCGGGCUAUGCCCUACUAAGGGGAAGGUUGGAUACGCGUUACUCACCCGUGCGCCGGUCGCCAUCGGGGUUUGCAAGCAAACCCCAUGCUGCCCCUCGACUUGCAUGUGUUAAGCCUGUAGCUAGCGUUCAUC
rnacentral:rRNA from 1 species